CACGGCCGUAGCACGUUGAAACACCGGAUUUCGUCGGAUCAGUGAAGUUAAGCUACAUGGAGUCUGGUCAGUACGUAGAUGGGUGACUACUCGAGAAUAUCACGUGCUGUAA